rnacentral:rRNA from 1 species
ACUCAAAUGAAUUGACGGGGGCCCGCACAAGCGGUGGAGCAUGUGGUUUAAUUCGAUGCAACGCGAAGAACCUUACCUGGGUUAGACAACGUAAGACCGGUGCAGAGAUGCAUCUUUGUAGCAAUACACUUACGGUUCAGGUGCUGCAUGGCUGUCGUCAGCUCGUAUCGUGAGAUGUCGGGUUAAGUCCCUUAACGAGCGCAACCCCUAUCCCUAGUUGCCAUCAUUUAGUUGGGCACUCUAUGGAGACCGCCGGCGUUAAGCCGGAGGAAGGCGGGGAUGACGUCAAGUCCUCAUGGCCCUUAUGUCCAGGGCUACACACGUGCUACAAUGGCAGGUACAAAGGGUUGCCAACCAGCAAUGGGGAGCUAAUCUCAGAAAGCCUGUCUCAGUUCGGAUUGAAGUCUGCAAUUCGACUUCAUGAAGCUGGAAUCGCUAGUAAUCGCGGAUCAGAACGCCGCGGUGAAUACGUUCCCGGGCCUUGCACACACCGCCCGU